UGGGGAAUAUUGGACAAUGGGCGAAAGCCUGAUCCAGCAAUGCCGCGUGAGUGAUGAAGGCCUUAGGGUUGUAAAGCUCUUUUACCAGGGAUGAUAAUGACAGUACCUGGAGAAUAAGCUCCGGCUAACUCCGUGCCAGCAGCCGCGGUAAUACGGAGGGAGCUAGCGUUGUUCGGAAUUACUGGGCGUAAAGCGUACGUAGGCGGUGACUCAAGUCAGAGGUGAAAGCCUGGAGCUCAACUCCAGAACUGCCUUUGAAACUAGGUCGCUAGAAUCACGGAGAGGUGAGUGGAAUUCCGAGUGUAGAGGUGAAAUUCGUAGAUAUUGGGAAGAACACCAGUGGCGAAGGCGGCUUACUGGUCCGACACUGACGCUGAGGCGCGAAAGCGUGGGGAGCAAACAGGAUUAGAUACCCACGUAGUCCCUGAGCGGGCUGGCAAGGCGCAU
rnacentral:rRNA from 1 species